rnacentral:rRNA from 1 species
GACGAACGCUGGCGGCGUGCUUAACACAUGCGAGUCGAACGGAAAGGCCCUGCUUUUGUGGGGUGCUCGAGUGGCGAACGGGUGAGUAACACGUGAGUAACCUGCCCUUGACUUUGGGAUAACUUCAGGGAACUGGGGCUAAUACCGGAUAGGAGCUCCUGCUGCAUGGUGGGGGUUGGAAAGUUUCGGCGGUUGGGGCUGGACUCGCGGCUUAUCAGCUUGUUGGUGGGGUAGUGGCUUACCAAGGCUUUGACGGGUAGCCGGCCUGAGAGGGUGACCGGCCACAAUGGUACUGCGAUACGGCCCAGACUCCUACGGGACGCAGCAGUGGGGAAUAUUGCACAAUGGGCGGAAGCCUGAUGCAGCAACGCCGCGUGCGGGAUGACGGCCUUCGGGUUGUAAACCGCUUUCGCCUGUGACGAAGCGUGAGUGACGGUAAUGGGUAAAGAAGCACCGGCUAACUACGUG